rnacentral:rRNA from 1 species
CCUACGGGUGGCAGCAGUGGGGAAUAUUGGGCAAUGUAGGAAACUCUGACCCAGCAACGCCGCGUGAAUGAUUAAGGUCUUCGGAGUGGACAGUUCUUUUCUCAGGGAAGAAGAACGUGACGGUCCCUUUGUCCUAAGCCUCGGCUAACUACGUGCCAGCAGCCGCGGUAAUACGUAGGAGGCGAGCGUUAUCCGGAAUGACUGGGCUUAAAGGGGGCGUAGGUGGUUUGGCAAGUUAGUAGGGAAAUUCCAAGGCGCAACCUUGGAACUGCUAAUGAAACUGGUGGACUGGAGUGCAGGAGGGGCAACCGGAAUUCCUGGUGUAGCGGUGGAAGGCGUAGAGAUUAGGAGGAACACCGGUGGCGAAGGCGGGUUGCUGGACUGUAACUGACGCUGAGGCACGAAAGCGUGGGGAGCAAACAGGAUUAGAUACCCCAGUAGUC